GAUGAACGCUGGCGGCGUGCCUAAUACAUGCAAGUCGAACGCUUCACUUCGGUGAAGAGUGGCGAACGGGUGAGUAAUACACAAGUAACCUGGCAUCUACAGGGGGAUAACUGAUGGAAACGUCAGCUAAGACCGCAUAGGUGUAGAGAUCGCAUGAACUCUAUAUGAAAAGUGCUACGGGACUGGUAGAUGAUGGACUUAUGGCGCAUUAGCUGGUUGGUAGGGUAACGGCCUACCAAGGCGACGAUGCGUAGCCGACCUGAGAGGGUGACCGGCCACACGGGGACUGAGACACGGCCCAGACUCCUACGGGAGUGAGCCGUAGGGAAUUUUCGGCAAUGGGGGAAACCCUGACCGAGCAACGCCGCGUGAAGGAAGAAGUAAUUCGUUAUGUAAACUUCUGUCAUAGAGGAAGAACGGUGGAUAUAGGGAAUGAUAUCCAAGUGACGGUACUCUAUAAGAAAGCCACGGCUAACUACGUGCCAGCAGCCGCCGUAAUAC
rnacentral:rRNA from 1 species